AAACUGUCCCUCCCAGUUCACUGUUUAUUGGACACUACGACCCCGACCACCAUCCUGAUACUGCGAUAGCGAUUUUUCAGUGGAUUUAAUUUCAAGAGCUGGGGCUGUCAAUUCGCUGUGUAUUGGACACUACGACCCCGAUCACCAUCCUGAUACUGUGAUAGCCAUUUUUAAUUGGAUUUAAUUACUGCAGCUUAAACUGUCCCUCCCAGUUCACUGUUAAUUGGACACCAAGACCCCGAUCACCAUCCUGAUACUGUAAAAAUGACUUUAAUUCAUUGGAUCAGUACUGCAUUCAGCUUAAACUGUCUCUCCCAGUUCGCUGUUUAUUGGACACUACGACCCCGAUCACCAUCCUGAUACUGUGAUAGCCAUUUUUCAUUGGAUUUAAUUACUGCAGCUUAAACUGUCCCUCCCAGUUUGCUAUCUAUUGGACACUCAAGACCCCGAUCACCAUCCUGAUACUGUAAAAAUGAUUUUAAUUCAUUGGAUCAGUACUGCAUUCAGCUUAAACUGUCUCUCCCAGUUCGCUGUGUAUUGGACACUACGACCCCGAUCACCAUCCUGAUACUGUGAUAGCGAGUUUUCAUUGGAUUUAAUUACUGCAGCUUAAACUGUCCCUCCCAGUUUGCUGUUUAUUGGACACUACGACCCCGAUCACCAUCCUGAUACUCCACUGUGCAUGCUAUUUUCGGGAUGUUUCACGCCGAGUGCAGUUCGCAACUCGUUGUGUUAGCAAUACCGGAAUAUGGAUGCGGUUCCGCCAGCAAGGACAAGGCAAGUGUGGUUACUCAUGUUCAAAAUGUGGAGUUUGGUUUUUACUUGAAAAUAAAUGUAUUUUACCCUGUAUAAUCUAAGGUUGUGAUGGUUAGAAAAAACAAUUACCAUGCUGUUCAGAGUAGCGGACUGGCCAUGCACGGCACCACGCCCCUUUUUAACUUAGGUCUGGACUCUUGUCUUAGGCCCCAUGUCACAAUGGAAAUUGACAGAAGUUGCCUUAAAUUGACAAAGAUUGCGCAACAUUAUGCAAAGUUGACAUGCAAGUUUAGGCAACUUUGCAUUUGCUUGGGCAACUUUGCGCCAUUUCCGGCAAUUUUGCGCCCAUUUCUGGCAAUUUUCCGCAACUUCCGGCAAUUUUGCGCAACCUUGCGCCAUUUCCGGCAAUUUUGCGCCCAUUUCUGGCAAUUUUCCGCAACUUCCGGCAAUUUUGUGCCCAUUUCUGACAAUUUUCCGCAACUUCCGGCAAUUUUGCGCAACUUUGCGCCAUGUCCAGCAAUUUUACGCAACUUCGCGCCAUUUUCCGGCAUUUUUGUGCAAUUUUGCGCCAUUUCGGGCAAUUUUGCGCAACUUUGCACCAUUUCAGGCAAUUUUGUACAACUUUGCGCCAUUUCCAGCAAUUUUGUGCAACUUAGCACAUUUUCAGGAAACUUUGGAAAAGUUUGCACAACUUAAUGUAAUUUAGAGAAACUUGGUGCAUCUAUGAGAAAGUUUUUGAAACUCUGUGCAAUAUCAAACAUUUUUUAGCAAUUUUUAGCACCUGCACACAAUACAAUGCCACUUUGAGCAGGUUUUCAAAAUAUAUAUAUUGACUUUUGGUGCCUGCUCUCUUUCAUUCGUCUCAAAAUCUUAUCUUGGCAUAUGAUUUCAAAUAUCAGGACUUUAUAAUAAUACUAUUGCAUCUUUCCUGUGGUCAUGCACUUCUGCCAAACAAUCACAUAGUUGAACAUCAUCUUUGAAACUCUGUAUUCAUACAUGUACUUCAGUCACAGAGUAUGAGGACACCAAGAAUGGUGCAAUGUCAGAUGUGCAUGUAUAUGAAAGAUUUCUUUAAUUUUUUUUAUUAAUUUUUUAAUCCUCUAGCCCUCUAUAAUAUUUUGUUCAUAUCUAAAGGGAUCAAGGAGAAAAUAUUAACAUUCAUGUGGUUCCAAAAUCUCCAUAUAUGCAAUACGGUAAAGUGGGGGAUGAUGCUGUGGAACGGAUCACCCACCUUUUAAAUUCUUUGGGAGAUAAUUACAUGGAACUCUAGCAUUAACUAAUUAAAUAUACUAUCGCAAAUCUAACGAUGACAUGCAAUGCCAGGAGUAUUUUAUGUGGUACUAGUGAACAAAAUAAAAAGACCUGCUUGCAAAAAUAUUUUGUAAUGGAAGAAACAAUUUAUUAUACUUAAAAAUGUGAUACAUGUGAUAUGACUGCUGGAUUUUGUUUACUACCCUUCCUCUAACUGUAUUGAACAGUUCGUCGGCAUUGUCUCUUAAUGACAUAAACCAGUUUUGGCAAAAUUGAUCAUGAAGUAUAGUGGGGGGGGGGGGGGUCAGGAAAAAGCAUUUAUCAUAGUGAGAUAUAACUUCCAUAAUUACACACAUUAAGAAGAUUUUUGUGGCACUGAAAAUGGAGAAUUAAAUAUUGCUGACUUAGAAGGAACUUUUGUCCUGUGGCCAUUUUCACCAUUAACACUUGUGUAAUAAAACACUCGCCAUGAGUCCCUUAAACUAUGUGCUUCCUUUAACUUAAUCAUGGUUAAGAGAUUCCCUUAAGGGUACAGGAUGCUUUCUUUGUAGCGCAGCUACAAAAAGAUAAUUUUCAUGGUUUAGAAUAGGAGAUUAAUGACAAAUAAACCCUGAAUGCUUUUCUUGGUCAUGGAAUACAAGUCGUACAUUUUGUACACUUUAAAUAAUUUCUUAAUGUAUUGUGGUUUUUCAGUUAUGUGUCAUUUUAUGAAGAUGGUCCAUUUCAACUCUUUUUACAUCAUAAUUGAAGAACCACAAGACCCACAAAAUUGUAACUGGAUAUUUGGAUUCAGCAUCACACCUGAUUUAAAAUCUUUACAAAUUUCACUAUAGCCGAUUAGGACUCGCAAGUUACGAUGAACGACCAAAUCUCCUAUGUCAAAAGGUCCUGUAGCCUUAAGUUUACCUCAAAUUUAAUUUUUUUCCAUUGUCUUAAGUUAUAAUAAGCAUAUUUAGAGCUGGAUUUUGCUGUAAACCCAACUAAAAUUAUUUGAGUUACUGUUGUAAUGGUAUGGCCAAUUUAGUGCAGCUGAAAAUAACAAAAUACAAAGGGAUUUGAACACUGUAACUGGCUAUAUCUCAAAAUCAACACAUCUGACAAAUUACUGAAUUCAUUUGAUCACAUCACCUAUUAAUGCCUUUAUAACCUAAAUUAAUAGUACAAAUGAGUUAUUACUGUAAACAGGUAGAGGCAUGUGACAAAUAUUGAAACACUUUUGCAUUAUAUCCUAAAUUUUCCAGUAGGGAUUAAUGCACAAAAUCUAGUUUAGAUCAUUAAAUCCCCACUCAUGUACUUCAGGGUAGGGAAAACAAAACAAAACAAACAAAAAAACAUUCCAAAGCUUGUAUGUCCCACAGAAUUCAAAACUGGCAUUGAACUAGUUGUGAAUGACCCUAAAGGUCGAAUAUUGAUUCAUAUGUAGAGUACAAAUGCCACUUUUAGGUGCUUUUGGACAUAACUUUUUAUUAUAUAUAUAUAUACAGUGCAUCCCAAAAAGAACUAUACACUUUUGAAAUGGCUACCAAAUAAAGGUAAUAAGAUUCUUGGGUAAAAUGUUUAUAUUUAUAUAAAGCUCAUAUCCUUAACUAUCAUUAUGACACCAAAAAUUCUGAAAAAAACGCAUGCUUCAGUGAGUAAUGCCCACUUUUGUAAAGGACACAAAAAUUACCCUGCGCAGGAAUUCACUAUUCAUUUUGCACGUGGUUAUGAAACGCCAUGAAGGAGUCAAAAUUAAUGAUGGAAUAAAUCAGCAAACAGAGUCAAAAAUAAACCAAGAGUUAAAAAAACAAUCAAUAUUAUGCAAAAAUGUAAUAUUUUACUGUUUUGUUUUCAUAUCAUUGAUUUUUGCCUGUACUUCAAUUUAUUUUUGUCUUUGUUGGUCUUUGCGGACUCGUUCGGUAUUUUCAUGGCUUGUGCGGUAUAUUCUCGUAUCACACUCAAAGCCAUCCAAUAUUAUAUAAAUAUUGGCCAAGAUAUCUCUGGAUAUUAAUUAUCAUUUUAUUUUACUGAAGUCCUUGUUUCUUUUCAGAGAUAGACUUUCAUCUGGCUCAAGGAGUCCUCCUCGUGGAUCAAAGAGUCCUUCAUCACAUAGGAGAAGAGACAGGUAUGCGAGUUUUGAAGUGUUAACAAGAUAUUAAAGGCACGAGACCCAAUUUUUACUGUAGGAAAUUUUCUAACCUAGGUUAAGAGCUACACUAAAAUAGCUUUAUUCUCUCAAGUUUCAUCAAAAUCGCUCCGUUUGGAAGUUAGAUGCAAAAAUGUGUAUGAAAAUGCUCCAUUCAAAAUUACAUUACUUCCGCUGUGGUUAACCACAUUUCUCAAUAAAUAGCAGUUAUUUUGUUCAUAUCUUCUAAUCAAAAUACAUUUCAGGCAUAAAAUUUCACAGGGAUUAUGAGAAAAAUAUCAGCUUUCCAGUGAUACCAAAAUCUCCAAUUCGAUGGGGUAAAGUAGGGGGAUGAUGCUGCGGAUUGGGUCACCCACCCACCCAAACAGGGUGUUACCAUGAUAAUUUGCUCAGUAUUUUUUAUUCUUUUCAGAGGCAGAUCCAGGUAUAAUUCCUCUGGCUCAAGGAGUCCUUCACCACGAAGAGACUGGUAUGUGUAAGGUUACACUCAGGGUUUAUGACAAAACUGUGUGUGUGGAUAGGUACAUGCAAAGCUAUGCAUGUUGUUGUUGUCAUUUUUUUUCCAACUUGAUCAAAAAUCAAAGGGAAACACAUAGGCAGGUCGACAGAUGCAGACAAAACCUUGCUUUAUUAUAAUAUUGACAACUUGCAACAUUCCUCUGACUCAAGGAGUCCUUCACCACCACACAGGAGAAGAGACAGGUAUGUGGGUCCUUGGAGUUCAUAAUAAGAUAAUGCUUUUUUAGAAAAUCAACAUGUGUUUUCACAUCAAUAAAUUAAUGUUAUUAGACCAUAGACCAUUAAUCACACAAGGUUUGUCAUAUCUGAGAUUUUCAUGGUUGAAACAUACAGAAUUUGAUUUUGCCAUUUGCUGUUAGUUGGCAUUAUGCAUUCUGCGUCCAUUAUCUAUUGCUUGCACAUGUAGACAAACAAAGGUGUCAGAAACCUAAUGUCAAUUAAAUUAUGUAUUUCAGCAAGAUCUUCAUAAGUGAAUUUGAUCUUCCAACAGAUCUAUCUUAAAAUUUAACCAUACCUAUAAAGCAGAUUUGAUUUUCCACAGAUGUUACCAUUUAUUAUCAAUAAAAUAGUUUUACUUGCAAAAUGGUGUAGAGUUUCAAGCAGCACACGGCAUCUUAUGUUAGUAUUGAGCAAAACACAUUGGAAGACCCAUCCGAAUGCCGACUCUGAGUUGGUGGUAAUUUGAUUUUUCAAACUAUUAAAAGUUGUCAAUGUUCUCAUUCCAGGUCACGAUCAAGGUUGCAUUUUAGGUCAAGAAGUAGGUCUAGAUCAGUGACACACUCUUCGUAUAGGAGAAGCGGAAACAGGUCACGAUCAAGGUUGCGCUCCAGGUCAAGAAGUAGGUCUAGAUCAGUGACGCGCUCGUCGUAUAGGAGGAACAGAAACAGGUCACGAUCAAGGUUGCGCUCCAGGUCAAGAAGUAGGUCUAGAUCAGUGACGCGCUCGUCGUAUAGGAGAAACAGAAACAGGUCACAAUCAAGGUUGCGCUCCAGGUCAAGAAGUAGGUCCAGAUCAGUGACGCCCUCUUCAUAUAGGAGAAGCGGAAACAGGUAUUCGUUUUUUUUUUUUUCCUUCUUUGAACAUUUUAUUGGAAAAUAAGUUUGUAAAACAACUAACCAGCUUAAAAGGCCCCUGAAUGAUCAACACACACACACACACAUAUUAGUCAAGCGUUUUAUGAACCAAGUCCCGCGACUCUCGGCUAUUGUGCAAUCGGCCUCUAUAUAAUUAUCUAUAGGGCCUAAAUUGUACACACCAAAUUUCUAUAUAGAUUUGACUGUAUAGCUUGGCUUAGUGACUUACCGACUGCACUCCCACGCGAUUGACACAGGGUUGAUCGUGCGUACAAAUUUUUUCUUCCCCCUCCUCUCACACAUAUUUCCAUUGAACUUAUGGGAUGGUUGCUGCCAUGCCUGUGACUGUUGGGAGGGGUUCAUUUUUGGAUAGCCCUAUGAAAGGGCAGAGGAGGGGAUCUCUUUUAAAAUCAUAGACAUUCCAUGAUUCUAGCAACCUCUUUUUAGAACCUAUCAGUAGAUACACAUGAAAAAUGCUUAUUUAUAAAUUUCAGUUGAUUAUAUGUAUUAUAAUGCACCAUAGGCUACUGCAUUGUAAUAGAAAAUGCAUACAAUGUUUUCUUUUGUCACAAACAACAUGUUCUUGCUUCAGUAUUUCUUAUUUUUUAUGACUUGGCUACGAAAUUAACAAACUUUUGAAAAAUUAAAAUUUUCAUGUGAUCCUCCUCACAGAAUGUGUGAUUGUCCCUUUAACUGAGUGAACAGGUCAAAAAUAAUACUACAAACAAUAAAUUAAGUCAACAUGUAGUAAAGUGUAAGAAGUAGAACUAGAGCAACUGUGCUUCAAAAACACAAAAUAAGGCAACAUACAGUGGUAUAUGAAAUAAAUGGAACUAGAGCAAAAAAAAAUAAAAAAUAAAAUAACGACAGCAAAAUUAGAACAACCGUGCUUCAAAAACACAUGUACAGUAGCGUGAUUUUGCAUUUUCAAAUUAUGCAUGUAUUUGUGUAUUACCUUGCUCCAUAGGCUACUGUUCUAAUUUCUCUCGCAUACAAAAAACAUUUCCUUGCCACUGUGCUUCAGUAUUUCAUUUUAAUGAAUUUGCUACCAAAGCAAUACAAAUUUUCAGUUGAUCCUCCUCACAGAAUGUGUGAAUUAAUUAAUAUCAAUGUAAAACCAUUCUUGCUGUUGUAUAAUAAUUUGAGAUUACAUUCAAAAUAUUGUAAUUAACAAUAAAUAUAAACAUUGAAACACUUGUGUCGUCUUUUUAAAUUAUAACUUAUGUUUGCCAUCAUUUUUUAUUAAACUAUGGACACUUUUUAUAUUCUAUGACACCAAUGAGGUAAAAAAAAAUAUCUACAUCCAAACUGUUUGUAUUUUGAUAUUAAAUUAACCUGGGGAGCGUUUCA
rnacentral:lncRNA from 1 species